rnacentral:lncRNA from 1 species
GUCUCACUUUCUAUCAAGUUCUGGGAACAUUCAGAGGACAAACAAUUUUCCACUUUUCCCUUCAAGGUUAAAAGGAAAUGUUAAGCAAAAUUUUUGGAAUAGAGAAGCAGCAGCAACCUCUUCCCACACCUGCAGUGCCCAAACCUGCAGUGCUCCUUUCACUGGAGACCAAGUUUCAGGAGCUUCAUUUAUUGAGGAACUUGCGAUAACUCUUCUGGAACUCAAUUUUAUCCUGACAUCCUAUUCAUCUCCCUGCUUAUUUCUCCAUCACUGACCCUGAUCUUAUUAGAAAACCUCAGAGAAUGUCACAAAUGGCAGGAGGUGUGUUUUCUUUUAAACAAGUUACUUCAGAAUAUAUUUAAUAUCUUAAAAUUGUCAUUGAUUGAAACUAGUAAUUCUAAAUGAGUAAUUUCAAACUAAUUUCUCUCUAUUUUUCUAUUUCUGUCUCCUUUGCCUUUUACUUGGUGUUUUCUGGAGAGUUUUUCUAAAUGGCAGUGGACGUGACCAAUGAGGGACUAAAGAAAAGAAAAUGGAAAGAGAAGAAACAGAGAAGAUGCAUCAGUGCGGAGCAGACUUAACUGAGAUUACACCGAAGGGCAAGUUGUUUGAUGUGAGGACUUGUUGGAAAAGAAGGUCAUCAGAGAAGGGUUGCCAGUCUUGGAUGCCAGUAGUUUGAUUAAUCAGGUAUUAUCAACUGAUUAUAAAAUUCCUUGAUUUGAAAGUUCACAUCAUAGACUGUGUGACCAGUUUGGUAACCUAGACUACCCCAGGAAGGUGAGUAAUUAAUCAUUAUCCCAUAAUAGCAUGCACACACUCACACUCCUGUUAGCAAGUAGGGAAGUGGUAGCAGAGGGCAAUGCCUCUAGGUAAUAUGAUACAUUACUCAAGCAGAUGAUUAAAAGGUACAGUUGCCAAGCUUUAAUAAUGCUAAAUGGUCAAACCAAGAACAAGCAUAACAUCAUGUUUUGGGAUUGAGGGAGACUUUUCAGUUCACUGGCAAGCAAUGUUAUGAAUAAAUAAGAAAGCAAAAUGAGAAAGCA